GGUUGGUUUCUUUUCCUCCGCUUAUUGAUAUGCUUAAGUUC
rnacentral:rRNA from 1 species